rnacentral:tRNA from 1 species
GCCUUUGUGGUGUAAAGGUCAGCACGCUCAGUUCGUGUUCGAGAGGUCCAUAGUUCGAGUCCCGGUGAAGGCA